rnacentral:rRNA from 1 species
GACGAACGCUGGCGGCGUGCCUAAUACAUGCAAGUUGAGCGAUGAAGAUUGGUGCUUGCACCAAUUUGAAGAGCAGCGAACGGGUGAGUAACGCGUGGGGAAUCUGCCUUUGAGCGGGGGACAACAUUUGGAAACGAAUGCUAAUACCGCAUAACAACUUUAAACAUAAGUUUUAAGUUUGAAAGAUGCAAUUGCAUCACUCAAAGAUGACCCCGCGUUGUAUUAGCUAGUUGGUGAGGUAAAGGCUCACCAAGGCGAUGAUACAUAGCCGACCUGAGAGGGUGAUCGGCCACAGUGGGACUGAGACACGGCCCAAACUCCUACGGGAGGCAGCAGUAGGGAAUCUUCGGCAAUGGACGAAAGUCUGACCGAGAAACGCCGCGGGAGUGAAGAAGGUUUUCGGAUCGUAAAACUCUGUUGGUAGAGAAGAACGUUGGUGAGAGUGGAAAGCUCAUCAAGUGACGGUAACUACCCAGAAAGGGACGGCUAACUACGUG